GGAGAGGUCGCAUAGUGGCCUAGUGCAGAGGUUUACUAAACCUCCGUCCUGUCAAAGGGACCGCGAGUUCGAAUCUCGCCCUCUCCG
rnacentral:tRNA from 1 species